CCUACAGGAGGCAGCAGUGGGGAAUAUUGGACAAUGGGGGCAACCCUGAUCCAGCCAUGCCGCGUGUGUGAAGAAGGCCCUCGGGUUGUAAAGCACUUUCAGUGAGGAAGAACGCCUGGUGGUUAAUACCCAUCAGGAAAGACAUCACUCACAGAAGAAGCACCGGCUAACUCCGUGCCAGCAGCCGCGGUAAUACGGAGGGUGCGAGCGUUAAUCGGAAUUACUGGGCGUAAAGCGCGCGUAGGUGGCUUGAUAAGCCGGUUGUGAAAGCCCCGGGCUCAACCUGGGAACGGCAUCCGGAACUGUCAAGCUAGAGUGCAGGAGAGGAAGGUAGAAUUCCCGGUGUAGCGGUGAAAUGCGUAGAGAUCGGGAGGAAUACCAGUGGCGAAGGCGGCCUUCUGGACUGACACUGACACUGAGGUGCGAAAGCGUGGGUAGCAAACAGGAUUAGAUACCCUUGUAGUC
rnacentral:rRNA from 1 species